rnacentral:rRNA from 1 species
GUGUCAGCAGCCGCGGUAAUACGUAGGUGGCAAGCGUUGUCCGGAUUUACUGGGCGUAAAGGAUGUGUAGGCGGAUAUUUAAGUGAGAUGUGAAAUCCCCGGGCUUAACUUGGGGGCUGCAUUUCAAACUGGAUGUCUAGAGUGCAGGAGAGGAAAGCAGAAUUCCUAGUGUAGCGGUGAAAUGCGUAGAGUUUAGGAAGAAUACCAGUUGCUCAGGCGGCUUUCUGGAAUGAAACUGACGAUGAGG